UAUAUAUAUAUAUAUAUAUAUAUAUAUAUAACUAAAAUGUUUGUUAUAAGCAUGUAUAAGAUAAAAUCUUAUAUAAAAAACUACUAACAAUUAGAAAAAUGUAG